AGAAUCAACGCUGGCGGCGUGCCUAACACAUGCAAGUCGAACGCGACUGGGGACUUCGGCUCUCAGUUGAGUGGCGAACGGGUGAGUAACACGUGGGUGAUCUACCUUUGAGUGGGGGAUAACGUCCCGAAAGGGACGCUAAUACCGCAUGACGUUCUGGGUUUGAAGACCUGGAAACCAAAGCCGGGGACCGCAAGGCCUGGCGCUUGGAGAGGAGCCCGCGUCCGAUUAGCUAGUUGGCGGGGUAACGGCCCACCAAGGCGACGAUCGGUA
rnacentral:rRNA from 1 species